AACAGGAUUAGAUACCCUGGUAGUCCACGCCGUAAACGAUGAGUACUAGGUGUAGGAGGUAUCGACUCCUUCUGUGCCGCAGUUAACACAAUAAGUACUCCGCCUGGGAAGUACGGUCGCAAGAUUAAAACUCAAAGGUAUUGACGGGGGCCCGCACAAGCAGCGGAGCAUGUGGUUUAAUUCGAAGCAACGCGAAGAACCUUACCUAGACUUGACAUCUCCUGAAUAGCCGGUAACUCGGCGAAGCCUUUCGGGGCAGGAAGACAGGUGGUGCAUGGUUGUCGUCAGCUCGUGUCGUGAGAUGUUGGGUUAAGUCCCGCAACGAGCGCAACCCUUAUCAUUAGUUGCUACCAUUUAGUUGAGCACUCUAAUGAGACUGCCGUGGUUAACGCGGAGGAAGGUGGGGAUGACGUCAAAUCAUCAUGCCCCUUAUGUCUAGGGCUACACACGUGCUACAAUGGUGAGUACAAAGAGACGCAAUAUCGUGAGGUGGAGCAAAACUCAAAAACUCAUCCCAGUUCGGAUUGUAGGCUGAAACUCGCCUACAUGAAGCCGGAGUUGCUAGUAAUCGCGAAUCAGCAUGUCGCGGUGAAUACGUUCCCGGGCCUUGUACACACCGCCCGUCACACCAUGAGAGUCUGCAACACCCGAAGUCCGUGAGGUAACCCGUAAGGGAGCCAGCGGCCGAAGGUGGGGCCGAUGAUUGGGGUGAAGUCGUAACAAGGUAACC
rnacentral:rRNA from 1 species